rnacentral:ncRNA from 1 species
CUGCGAAGACGUGGAUGAAGGAAGCUUAAGGCGAAGUUUGGAGGAUACGAACAGAAAGCGGAUACAAGGCCUACUCGCGGGUAAAUCAGCAUUAGAUGAUAACGCCCUAAUCCUAACCGUAGCGAGGUGGUAAAUCCGCAUCCCGCCAAGCGAAAGAA